UUAAAAAGGAGUUCUAAGCGGUGUAUAACAUAAUUUAUUCCCAUCUAAAUAAUCCCCUUUAAACACAACAAUAGAUCAAGAUAGCAAGGCGUUUUGACCGUAUAAUAUACUUAUUACUGGUUCUGACGUUCUUCCAGAAUGGUCUGACUGAUCAUAAAUGCCUGUGGCUAUGUCGCCGACAAGAUUGGCAGACUGUGCUCGGGCAAAGAUAGUGAGAAGGAAGAAGUGAAGCCGAUUUCUGAACGGAAAUGUGUCCUCAGCAAUGGAGUAGGACAAGAUCCAGUCAGAAAGGCUCCUCAUCCAGACACUCCGCCUCCGCCAUAUCAGCCUCCGGCUGAUCAACCUCCGGCUUAUCAGACUUAGUUUAUAACUACCAUUUAACAUCUUUCUUUCUUCAGUUAUUCGCACUGUAAAUAUGCCAUGAUCAGAGCCUUCAGAAUCAACUAACAGCCACAUCAAAAACUUCUGAAUUUAGAGACAAAUGAGCCACGUCAUGAGAAAACCAACAUAGUGCAUUUGCGACCAGCAUGGAUCCAGACCAGCCUGCAUAUCUGCGCAGUCUGGUCAGGAUCCUUGCUGUUCGCUUUCAAAGCCUAUUGCAAUUAAAGAAACUGUUAGCAAACAGCAUGGAUCCUGAUCAGAUUGCACAAAUCUUUUGAUGUAAAUAAUACCUAAACAUAAAAUAUAAGAUUCCAAUAAGGUCUUGUCAAGUGUCCAACAUAUUUAGGCCAAAUUGGAUCUAUGUUUAGUGUCCCCAUCAUUUUGUAAAAGAUAUCAACCAGGUAGAAAAAAAACUGUUGAAUUUUUUGGAUGUUCCUGAUAGCUUUUACACUCAUGAAAAUUAUACCAGUUUUAGCAGUAUAUUAAACAGUUAAAACAUGCAAGUAUUUAUUAAGUUUAGAUAUCUAAAAAAAAAAUGAAGUAUGUAGGAAUCACCAUUGUUAAUUUGUCUUAUAUUGAAUACAUCAUUACUGGUGUUUUUAACAUUUUUGAAAAGGUUUUUUUUUUACAACCAGGCAGUGAAAAAACAGGCCUGAGGACACUGAACAUAGAACCAAUUUGAUAUGGCCUUAGUUUAUAAACAGUGGCACAACUCCAUAAUUUCAUCAGAGAACCAUGGCUUCAGCACCAGCUGUGAUUGUCCAUAAUUUAUCAAAAAUCAUUCCUUUAUCUUCUGUCAAAUUUUUACUGUAUGGCUGAGAAGGUAGAAAGACUUUCGGCAUAUUUUUUUCAGAUCACGCAAGGAAUUAUCAUAUACCGGUACCUUAUUAUAGAUAGUAACAAAUCUGUACAACACAAACCCGUGCAAAUAGCUUGAAGUGUGCACGAUUACCGGUCAUUUCCAUGCCACAGGAGUGUGAUGUCAUUUUAUCCUCUGUCAUCAUAUCAAAAGUUCAAAACUUUAUACUAGUUGUGAUUAAAUAAUUUAAAUGAUCAAACUUUCAAAAUAAGCAACUCAUUGAAUAGCAACAGGGUGCAUUGCCUGGUUACCAGCUAUCCUAAACCUAUAUUGGUAUGUGGGCUACGUCCUCGUGGCUUGUGAAAAUUCGGUUUAGCCAUGCCAUUGCCAUUUUAUAAGUGUCAUUGAGUUGCUGCAUUUUUAUAACUACCGUAAAAAAUGAGGACAAUUAAAUAAAAGAAAAAAAUUAAAAGAAAUUGGGGCAACUGAUUUGGUACAUGGAAAUAUUCACUCUUUUUAACAAUAUUUGCCAAUUUUAGAUUUUUGUUUAAUAUUUUAAUAAAUCUUGGAUUUGACAUUUUUGUACUGUUUAAACAUAUAAAAUCAUUGCUGAACUUUGGUAUUUUAUGAAGGAAUCUAUGCACUUUUUAUGCAGCAGGCUGUUAAUGUUUAUAAAACCUGUCUUAGAAAAUAAUUACUGUGAUCUACACAAAAUUUAUCAUCAGGUGUUUUAAUGGACUGUGUUUAAUUUCUUUGCUCAGGGUCUUAAAUUUAGAAAUAGUGUUUUACAUAUCUUUUUGUGGAAAUAUUUUAUUCAGGGACUGUUAAGAACAAAAAUAUUGCCUUAAACGGUAAAGUUGUUUAAAAAAAUGUAUUAAAUGGAUAUUAUGUAAAAAAAAAAGAAAGUUGUCAUAAACAAUGUAUGAAAUGGAUAUUAUGUAAUUUUUAUUUAAAUUAACAUGUUGUGUCAGUCUGUUUUCACUGUAUAUGUUUAAUGAUAACCCUGUAAUUAAAACCUUAGACUUAAAUGCAAGAUUUUAAAAUGAUACAGUCGAAGAAUAUAUGCUAGACUAAGUACUAAUCAUCGGCAUUUACGUGUCAGAAGUUCAUAUAUAUGUUUGAUAAGAUACACAUAUUGAUGGAUAACCAAGAAUAUUCCAGGCUGACAUGAAAUAUCAGCAGCUCCCUGCGAAGACUACAUUUGAGUCGCACCAUGAGAAAAUCAACAUAGUGCAUUUGUGACCAGCAUGAUGGAGCGCAUCUGUGCAGUCUGGUCAGGAUCUAUGCUGGUUGCUUUCAAAACCUAUUACAGUUAGAAAAAAUGUUAGCGAAUAGCUUGGAUCCUGACCAGACUGCAUGGAUGCUCAGGAUGGUCUGGAUCCUUGCUGGUUGCAAAUGCACUAUGUUGGUUUUCUCAUGGUGUGGCUCAUUUUAGAACUGUUUAGAUUUAUUUAUGACAAGCAUUUUCCAAACUUUGGCACAGUGGUGUGAAGUUGAGAAAAAGAAGUUUUAACGAUCCCCAGAUUCCAGAAAUCUUGUAUACAUGUUUAAAUGUUUUAAUUUCAGUGACCUUGACUAACAGUAUAUGAUACAGUUGUUCUAAAAUGUCAGAAGACAGCAGAAUAAUUGUGGAGGUUUUUCUGUAUGUUCAAUGUUCAGGUUAAAAUGUGUACAGUUUUUACAGAAAUUUAUGAUAUUUUGUAUUAAUAAGUGUUUGUUUUUAUAAUAAAUCAUUUUGUUGAGUAUACAA